CUACGGGAGGCACCAGUGGGGAAUAUUGCGCAAUGGGCGAAAGCCUGACGCAGCAACGCCGCGUGGGUGAUGAAGGCCUUCGGGUCGUAAAGCCCUGUCGGGAGGGAAGAACACCUUCGGGUCUGACGGUACCUCCCAAGGAAGCACAGGCUAACUCCGUGCCAGCAGCCGCGGUAAUACGGAGUGUGCAAGCGUUGUUCGGAAUUACUGGGCGUAAAGCGCGCGUAGGCGGCUUGGUAAGUCAGAUGUGAAAUCCCUCGGCUCAACCGAGGAACUGCAUUUGAAACUGCCAGGCUUGAGUACGGGAGGGGGAAGCGGAAUUCCCAGUGUAGAGGUGAAAUUCGUAGAUAUUGGGAGGAACACCAGCGGCGAAGGCGGCUUCCUGGACCGAUACUGACGCUGAGGCGCGAAAGCGUGGGGAGCAAACAGGAUUAGAUACCCUGGUAGUC
rnacentral:rRNA from 1 species